rnacentral:rRNA from 1 species
AUUGAACGCUGGCGGCAGGCCUAACACAUGCAAGUCGAGCGGAUGAAGGGAGCUUGCUCCUGGAUUCAGCGGCGGACGGGUGAGUAAUGCCUAGGAAUCUGCCUGGUAGUGGGGGAUAACGUCCGGAAACGGGCGCUAAUACCGCAUACGUCCUGAGGGAGAAAGUGGGGGAUCUUCGGACCUCACGCUAUCAGAUGAGCCUAGGUCGGAUUAGCUAGUUGGUGGGGUAAAGGCCUACCAAGGCGACGAUCCGUAACUGGUCUGAGAGGAUGAUCAGUCACACUGGAUCUGAGGCACGGUCCAGACUCCUACGGGAGGCAGCAGUGGGGAAUAUUGGACAAUGGGCGAAAGCCUGAUCCAGCCAUGCCGCGUGUGUGAAGAAGGUCUUCGGAUUGUAAAGCACUUUAAGUUGGGAGGAAGGGCAGUAAGUUAAUACCUUGCUGUUUUGACGUUACCAACAGAAUAAGCACCGGCUAACUUCGUG